GACUCUCCGCAACAGAUAUCUCGGCUCUCACAUCGAUGAAGAACGUAGCGAAAUGCGAUACCUGGUGUUAAUUGCAGAAUCCCGCCAACCAUCGAGUCUUUGAACGCAAGUUGCGCCCGAGGCCACUUGGGCGAGGGCACACCUGCGUGGACGUCA
rnacentral:rRNA from 1 species